CCCUCCCUCCCCAUUUUUCAUUAUUUACAAGGCAACUAUGACAAAAGUCAUCCCUGGAGUAUACAAGUGUCGCAAAAUAUUGUUUCCAUUUCUUUUUCUUCUGCUGAGAUCCCAAUCUCUUAUUUUAAAAAUAAUAAUAAGAACAACAGUUACAGAACAGACAUCAACCAUAAACUUUAGAUUCAAAUCUUUUACAUUUUGGUGGUGUGACAACGAACAGGACCCAGACUAAUAAUCAUCUCCUCUUGAUAUAACUUCCUUGCAAGUUGGCCGUAGCAAGAUAGUAUGCUCAAA
rnacentral:misc_RNA from 1 species